rnacentral:lncRNA from 1 species
AUUAUUACUCUUAUAAAUCAGCUAUAUUUCUGCAGGCUCGGUAGUACCUAACUGUACUUGCAAAUCUGUGAUUUUAAUUAGUAUGCAUAUUAAAAUAAUGGCUGAAUAAGGAGCACUUUUAAAAUAAUAGCUCAAAAUGACAUCUGCUAUUUUGUUGUGAUUUAUCCUCAGCGCAAACCCUAGACCCGAAACUACUCUUUUGGGUUGUAAUGCAACCAGACAGCUUAGAUAAUAAAAGAUCACCUUAAUUAGUGUCUGUAUCCUUGAUUAUUCUCUUCAGUGAAAGAAUGUUCAUGAUUGACAUUUAGAAGUGAAUAAAGCCAUUAGCUUGAUAGCAGAACAAAUGAGAUAAAGACAUUCUUCUGUCCUAGAGCCUAAACAAACAAAUUUGAGUUAAAAAGUCAUAAACAUUUAAAAAUGUGAUUGAUUUGCUUUAAGGAAAUAGAUGUAAUGUCCAUCAUUCCAGAGAAAGAAUAUAAUCCCAGCUGGUAUCAACUGCCUCUAUUCAUAUUUGAUAAGCAGCGAGACUAUAUUUGGCAUAAAGUACUCCCAUUCAUCAACCUCAACCAACCAUUUUUACAGAGGAGAAAAGUCAACAAGAAUUAACUCAGUCCCUUAAAUGUCCGCUGGUGGUGAGGAAGAAAGGAAGCCAGAUUGUACCUGAAAGGAUUUAAUGUGCCUGGGUGCUAGGAAUCACAGCAGAGCGCAUUCCAGCUGCACCACAUUAACCCACCAUUCACAUACUGAAGUUCCUGCCUCUUUUCCAUGUCGGUUGCCUUAGCACUUGUACUUGAUGUAGAUUUCUGACUGACUGAAAAUCAACUAUUGCAAAACACAUGGCUUUCACAGAUGGUCUAGUAAAGUAGAAGUAUUUUCUUUCUCUUAGAGUUUCCGCCAAUCCCACCGAAGCUGUGAGUGACAGAUGCAGUUACAGCUGGGGUACUUUUUAGUGGUUACUAUAUUUUCACUGUCGGCACCAGUUCCUACUGUGCUUCCACAUGUAACUUUUCACUGGCUCCCUUUGUGCAGUGUGGAGUUCAUCAAAGGCAAAGCCAUGUCGUCAUGAAUGAAUAAUGUCCUCAUGGCACAUGGUACUCUGCAUUUUAUUUUGGUUCUCAAUGAGAAACUCCUGUAAAGGGAUUUUUCUAAUAUAUGAUGUUUGUAUAAUAGCCUUUUCAUGGCAGUUUUGAACACAUGUAGACAAUUUAAUUGAUUAUGCUCCUAUUAAAAAUAGUCAUACACCAGCAACAGUUUUGACAGUCCAUCUGUAAACAACAGAAGCUAUUUAAAUCCAGCACCAUAAAGUUAAUUGGUAAAACACUACUUGUGGCUACAUAUGAAUCUCUUGAGUGAAAUCCUUACACAUU